UACGUAGGGGGCUAGCGUUGUCCGGAAUCAUUGGGCGUAAAGAGCGCGUAGGCGGCCAGAUAAGUCCGGUGUGAAAGUCACAGGCUCAACCUGUGAAUGCCGCUGGAAACUGUCUGGCUAGAGUCCGGGAGGGGCGAGUGGAAUUCCUGGUGUAGCGGUGAAAUGCGUAGAUAUCAGGAGGAACACCGGUGGUGUAGACGGCUUUCUGGACCGUAACUGACGCUGAGACACGAAAGCGUGGGUAGCAAACAGG
rnacentral:rRNA from 1 species